rnacentral:rRNA from 1 species
GAUGAACGCUAGCGGGAGGCCUAACACAUGCAAGCCGAGCGGUAUUGUUUCUUCGGAAAUGAGAGAGCGGCGUACGGGUGCGUAACACGUGUGCAACCUGCCUUUAUCUGGGGGAUAGCCUUUCGAAAGGAAGAUUAAUACUCCAUAAUAUGUUGAACGGCAUCGUUUAAUAUUGAAAGCUCCGGCGGAUAGAGAUGGGCACGCGCAAGAUUAGUUAGUUGGUGAGGUAACGGCUCACCAAGGCGAUGAUCUUUAGGGGGCCUGAGAGGGUGAUCCCCCACACUGGUACUGAGACACGGACCAGACUCCUACGGGAGGCAGCAGUGAGGAAUAUUGGACAAUGGGUGCAAGCCUGAUCCAGCCAUCCCGCGUGAAGGACGACUGCCCAAUGGGUUGUAAACUUCUUUUGUAUAGGGAUAAACCUACCCUCGUGAGGGUAGCUGAAGGUACUAUACGAAUAAGCACCGGCUAACUCCGUGCCAGCCGCCGCAGUAAUAC